rnacentral:lncRNA from 1 species
GAAUCCUCACUUUCAUUUGCCAGGCCACCAAAUAAGUAGCACUUGUUACCAUACAAAGAAAAGCUGUGGCCAAGUCGAGGACAAGGCGGUGAUCCAGUGGAAGGAGCUUGAGGUUUUACUUUCUUCCAGAGCCAUCGACUUGCCUGUAAUUCAUAUAAAUCAUUACUGUAUCUUCCAUAUUCAACCAUUCCUCCAAAGACUAGUAUUCUGGUACCAUCACAAACAAAUCCAUGCGCU